AUUGCUUCUCUGCCUUUUAGCUUAGAGUAUGUGUAGUUUCUGUUCUUAUCAGUUUAAUAUCUGAUAUUUCCCUAAAGUGGGGAGUUUUGUCUUAACUUGAUUGGAGCUAGGAGAUGGAUUAGGGGCUUGCUCUGUCCAUUCCUGAUGAAGGGCUUUUGCCCGAAACAUGGAUUCUCCUGCUCCUC